UACAGAGGGUGCAAGCGUUGUUCGGAAUUAUUGGGCGUAAAGGGAGUGUAGGCGGUUCGUUAAGUCUUCUGUGAAAUCUACGGGGCUUAGCCUGUAACGUGCAGAGGAAACUAGCGGGCUUGAGUGUCGGAGAGGAUAGGGGAAUACCCGGUGUAGAGGUGAAAUUCGUAGAGAUCGGGUGGAACACCAGUGGCGAAGGCGCCUGUCUGGCUGACAACUGACGCUGAGACUCGAAAGCAUGGGGAGCAAACAGG
rnacentral:rRNA from 1 species